UACGGAGGGUGCAAGCAUUAAUCGGAUUUAUUGGGCGUAAAGGGCGCGUAGGCGGGUUUUUAAGUCAGAUGUGAAAUUCCAGAGCUCAACUCUGGAGCUGCAUUUGAAACUGAAAGUCUUGAGGAUGGGCGGAGAAAAUGGAAUUCCACGUGUAGCGGUGAAAUGCGUAGAUAUGUGGAAGAACACCGGUGGCGAAAGCGAUUUUCUAGCUUAUAACUGACGCUGAGGCGCGAGAGCAAGGGGAGCAAACAGG
rnacentral:rRNA from 1 species